CCAGCUCCAAUAGCGUAUAUUAAAGUUGUUGCAGUUAAAAAGCUCGUAGUUGGAUUUCAAGAGUCGCAGCGCAUUAGCGUUUGCUCUCUACCAGUCUUUGACUGUUACUGUGAGAAAAUUAGAGUGUUUCAAGCAGGCUGUUGCAGGAAUACAUUAGCAUGGAAUAACGAAUGUGUCUAGAAUCUUGGUUUAUUCUAGAUUACGAUUAAUAGGGACAGUUGGGGGCAUUAGUAUUUAAUUGUCAGAGGUGAAAUUCUUGGAUUUGUUAAAGACUAACGUAUGCGAAAGCAUUUGCCAAGGAUGUUUUCA
rnacentral:rRNA from 1 species